rnacentral:rRNA from 1 species
AUUGAACGCUGGCGGCAUGCCUUACACAUGCAAGUCGAACGGUAACGGGCCUCCGGGUGCCGACGAUUGGCGCCCGGGUGAGUAUUACACGGGAACGUGCCCGACCGUGGGGGAUAAUAAGGCGAAGGCUUUGCUAAUACUCCUUACGAUUUCCGGUUGAAAGCAGGGGACGCCACGCCCUUGCGGGCGCGCAGGCGCGGAGGGCAGAUUGGGUAGUUGGUGGGAUAAAAGCUUACCAAGCCGACGAUCUGUAGCUGGUCUGAGAGGAUGAUCAGCCACACUGGGACUGAGACACGGCCCAGACUCCUACGGGAGGCAGCAGUGGGGAAUUUUGGACAAUGGGCGCAAGCCUGAUCCAGCCAUGCCGCGUGCAGGAUGAAGGCCUUCGGGUUGUAAACUGCUUUUGUACGGAACGAAAAGCCUUCUUUUAAUACAGGAGGGUCAUGACGGUACCGGAAGAAUAAGCACCGGCUAACUACGUG